CCUACGUGAGGCUGCCGUAGGGAAUUUUCCACAAUGGGCGAAAGCCUGAUGGAGCAACGCCGCGUGGGUGAAGAAGGUCUUCGGAUCGUAAAACCCUGUUGUUAGAGAAGAAAGUGCGUGAGAGUAACUGUUCACGUUUCGACGGUAUCUAACCAGAAAGCCACGGCUAACUACGUGCCAGCAGCCGCGGUAAUACGUAGGUGGCAAGCGUUAUCCGGAUUUAUUGGGCGUAAAGGGAACGCAGGCGGUCUUUUAAGUCUGAUGUGAAAGCCUUCGGCUUAACCGGAGUAGUGCAUUGGAAACUGGGAGACUUGAGUGCAGAAGAGGAGAGUGGAACUCCAUGUGUAGCGGUGAAAUGCGUAGAUAUAUGGAAGAACACCAGUGGCGAAAGCGGCUCUCUGGUCUGUAACUGACGCUGAGGUUCGAAAGCGUGGGUAGCAAACAGGAUUAGAUACCCCAGUAGUC
rnacentral:rRNA from 1 species